UACGUAGGGUGCAAGCGUUAAUCGGAAUUACUGGGCGUAAAGCGUGCGCAGGCGGUUUUGUAAGCCAGAUGUGAAAUCCCCGGGCUUAACCUGGGAAUGGCAUUUGGGACUGCAAGGCUGGAGUUUGGCAGAGGAGACUGGAAUUCCUGGUGUAGCAGUGAAAUGACGUAGAUAUCAGGAGGAAUACCGAUGGCGAAGGCAGGUCUCUGGGCUAUAACUGACGCUCAUGCACGAAAGCGUGGGAGCAAACAGG
rnacentral:rRNA from 1 species